rnacentral:siRNA from 1 species
UUUUGAAUGGAUGUUGUGGUUA